CCUACGGGAGACUGCAGUGGGGAAUAUUGCGCAAUGGGCGAAAGCCUGACGCAGCGACGCCGCGUGAGGGAUGAAGGUCUUCGGAUCGGAAACCUCUGUCAGCAGGGAAGAACGGUCACUGUGCUAAUCAGCAGUGAAUUGACGGUACCUGCAAAGGAAGCACCGGCUAACUCCGUGCCAGCAGCCGAGGUAAUACGGAGGGUGCGAGCGUUAAUCGGAAUUACUGGGCGUAAAGCGCUCGUAGGCGGUAUGUCAAGUCAAGGGUGAAAUCCCCGCGCUCAACGUGGGAACUGCCUUUGAAACUGGCAAACUGGAGUGUGCGAGAGGAUAGUGGAAUGCCAGGUGUAGGAGUGAAAUCCGUAGAUAUCUGGAGGAACAUCAGUGGCGAAGGCGACUAUCUGGCACAUAACUGACGCUGAGGCGCGAAAGCGUGGGUAGCAAACAGGAUUAGAUACCCCGGUAGUC
rnacentral:rRNA from 1 species